rnacentral:tRNA from 1 species
CAUUAGUAGUAUAAGCAGUAUAUCUGGUUUCCAUCCAGGGGGUCUGGUUUGUUUCCGGUUAAUGAUU